ACUUAUCUUUUAUCAUGUAGCGUUGAGUAUAUGUUGAUAUUUUGCAAUAUGUAUGAGCUUAAGUCUAUCUAUUUCAUUGUGAUUAUCAACUACUGGUGAGCAAAUUUGGUUUUCUGAAUAAUAAUUUUGCAAUAUUAUGCGCUACAUAUUGGUAGUCAUUUUUUGAUAACUAUGUUAUCCUAACUUUUCCUUUUCAUGGAAGUUAAAGAAAAGCCGUAUGUCGUCAGAAUUAGUAAUUCUAAACUGAAUAACUGAAUGUGCAGGGAUUUAGGAAAGGAAAAAAUAUUUUUAAGAAUUCUUUUUUGAUAACUUCUUGAUAAUGCAUGUGAUUGUUUGUGAUUAAUUUGUUUUAAAUAUUUUUUUUUAAAUAAAUUCUUGAAGUAUGUUGACUUUUCAACGUCUUAUUCAGUCACUGGUAACUUCUUAAGGUCAGUUGUUUCUAACAAGGGUUUGCAAGAGCCUGUUACAUUCUGUCCAUCUAGAAGAUUGAUUAAAAGUACUAAAACCUUUAUUUUUCAGAAACCUUGCGAGCUGCAAUGGGGGGAAUUUUCUUGAGGUCUUAGUUUUAAGGGAUUGCAUGCAUCUCAAAGAGGUAAUGUCUGUAAUACAUUUCUACCUUUUUCUCUUAUUACUCAGUUGCCUCAGAAACAUUAAUACUUCAUGUGCAGAUGGAAAUCACGAGGCUAUUUCUAAUUUCUAUAAUUUCUUUCCCCCACUCUAUGUAGUUAUGUCUCAAGCUGAUAAUACUGAUCAAGAUGAAAAACAAACGAACAUCACUUGAACUUCAGAUUAAGUGAUUGGUGGGUAGGAGAUGAGUGAUAGGAACGGAAACAUUAGAGGUUAGUAGUUAAUGAGAAAAACUAAAAACCAGCCAAUAAAUUAUAGACACUAGAGAGCAAUAGAACCACUUCUGAGAAAAUAUCACCCAUCGGAAGAAAUAAUUUGAUCACAUCUGUACUGAUAUUAAAGGGAAUGUUAGCAACCACCUGCAAACAAUAUAUCAUACCAAGCCAAUUCAGGAAACUUUAGCAGCAGAACGGAACACCAUAACUUCAUGGUUAAUAUAUAGCUGCCUAAUUUAGGACCCUUAAGUUAAGCUUCCAAAUGAAUUCAUUUAGGCUUAUUGAACAACCAUGUACAAACUGGAAUGUUAACCUCCUUGAAGUCUUGCAGGCUUGCUGCAUAAACUGGAAUGUCCUUUUGUCCAUAAACUGCAUAAUCAUGUAAAUCUUAUUACUUGAAUUUAUUAUUUUAAAAUAGAAUUUAUUUUAACUAUUAAAAAUAUUUUAAUUAAUAAAAAUACAAUAAAAGAUAAUAUGUUAAAAAUAAAGCUAUAGAUGUUUGGAAAAUAAUACAAGUCAUUUGUCUUUUAUUUACAAAUUUCACUUUUAAACAUUGGGAAAAAAGAUAAACUGAAAUUGUUUCAAACUAGGAUUUCAGUAAAUUAGUUUUCUUAACGGAAGUACAGUGGUGCUUUAGAACAAUUGUAUUUACAUAGAUGCAUGUUAGUGCUUUAGAAUUCAAUACUUUUAAAGUUCAGAACCCGAAAGAACAUUGUAGUUUGGUUGUAAAAAUAUUAGUCACUGCUCAAAUCGUAUCCANGUUGAAUUAUUGAAUUCUGAACCAUGGNGGAAAAAUCUUUAUUCUUUCAAUUUUCAAAGUAACAGAAAUUGAUUAUGCAACCUAGUAGAGACUUUUACUGGGGAAUCCCAACUCCAAUUGUGUGUCUUUUGGCGAUCAAGUUUUUUGUGCUGGCCCCAUAUAUUAUUGAAAUUUAAGAUAUGCAUGAAAGUGGAAUGAUGAAAAGAAUGACUGACCCGUUGGACCAGAAGCCACUCAGUUUGCAUCCUUCUUUUUCUGCUUCAAUCGACCACUUUAAUUUUUGUUUUGGUGUAUUCAAUUAAAUUUCAUUUUCAAUUUUUUGUUAAAACAGGUUUAUGGCUGAUCCAUCCAGGAAAUUUUAUCAUUUGACCAGUCAGAUUGGCAAAGCCCAUUUUAGUAAGUAUUUCUAUUCACAUUUGCCUUAAUUACUUAUGCAUUUGUUGUAUUUGCAUGCAUAUAAUAUUGGACUUAUAUUUUGUGAUCAAAUGUAGAACGUUUCUAAGAAGACAAACAUUGUUACACCUCCAACCACAAUUGUCUCUUCUCCAACAACUUGGUGCAGUGGUAGUCACAAUGGAGAAUAAAACUAUUGAGGUAGAUAUGCCUCUUGAACUCACAUGCAAGACUGCUACCACCACUUUAUUUGUAUAAUUUGAUAUUAUUUUGUAUCCUAGGUUUGAAUGAGUCUUGAUUAUUUGUAUUUAAUUUACAGUGUUGACAUCAAUUAGGCAGCUAUGAAUGUGGGUAUUAUGUAAUGAAACACAUGCAUACCAUUAUUUGUACAAACAUUACUACGUCAUGGAAUAAGGUAUUAAAAUACUAUAACUAAAUACUUAUCCAAUUAUUCAAUACAAUAUUGUUUUGACUCUAUUAUUUUAUUUGUAGAUCUUUAAAUGAUUCCUAUUCCAUGGAAGAUGCAAACAUUGAAGACAUUAGUGCUUCUUUUAUUUUAAGCACAUUAAUGUAAUAUUUGGAUUUAAUAUAUAGUUUCAUGUACAAACGAUGUAUUAAAUAUUAUUAGACUAUUUAAAGUUUGAAAUGAAUUCUAUUUUGUUA
rnacentral:lncRNA from 1 species